CUGAUGCAGCGACGCCGCGUGGGGGAUGACGGUCUUCGGAUUGUAAACUCCUUUCAGUAGGGACGAAGCGAGAGUGACGGUACCUGCAGAAGAAGCACCGGCCAACUACGUGCCAGCAGCCGCGGUAAUACGUAGGGUGCAAGCGUUGUCCGGAAUUACUGGGCGUAAAGAGCUCGUAGGCGGUUUGUCACGUCGUCUGUGAAAUCCUCCAGCUCAACUGGGGGCGUGCAGGCGAUACGGGCAGACUUGAGUACUACAGGGGAGACUGGAAUUCCUGGUGUAGCGGUGAAAUGCGCAGAUAUCAGGAGGAACACCGGUGGCGAAGGCGGGUCUCUGGGUAGUAACUGACGCUGAGGAGCGAAAGCAUGGGGAGCGAACAGGAUUAGAUACCCUGGUAGUCCAUGCCGUAAACGGUGGGCGCUAGGUGUGGGGUCCUUCCACGGAUUCCGUGCCGUAGCUAACGCAUUAAGCGCCCCGCCUGGGGAGUACGGCCGCAAGGCUAAAACUCAAA
rnacentral:rRNA from 1 species